GCCUGCGCAGCUGAGUGAUGAUGGGCGGGCGGCGGGACCCGGUCCGCUGGCUGCCGCUGUGGGCUCUUGGGCAUGGUGGGUCAGCCUGAGAUUGGCCCGGCUCGGAUCCCGAGCUGGAGCCGAAGGCACUGAGCGGCAGGCAGGGCAACUGGACUGAAUUUGGCUGAUUGAGAAGCUGGCAGGGGCAGAAAGAAUGAGAGCAACAAAUACUUUGAUGUUAUCGCCUUGGCAAGAGUGUCCUUGCUGGCUUCCGUAGAGCUGACCAGCUUUGCGCCUCUCCAGGCCAUUCGUUCAACCACAGGAGCCAUGCGGGGCCAGCGGAGUCUGCUCUUGGGCCCAGCCCGCCUCUGCCUGCGUCUCCUUCUGCUCCUGGGUUAUAGGCGUCGCUGUCCACCUCUGCUCCGGGGCCUGGUACAGCGCUGGCGUUACGGAAAGGUUUGCCUGCGCUCCCUGGUCUACAACUCCUUCGGAGGCAGUGACACUGCUAUUGAUGCGGCCUUUGAGCCUAUCUACUGGCUGGUGGACAGUGUAAUCCGCUGGUUUGGAGUGGUGUUUGUGGUGCUGGUGAUCGUGCUGACUGGAUCCAUUGUGGCCAUUGCUUAUCUGUGUGUCCUGCCCCUCAUCCUUCGGACCUACUCAGUACCACGACUCUGCUGGCAUUUCUUCUAUAGCCACUGGAAUCUGAUCCUCAUCGUCUUCCAUUACUACCAGGCCAUCACCACUCCUCCUGGAUACCCACCCCAGGGCAGGAACGACAUUGCUACCGUCUCCAUCUGUAAGAAGUGCAUUUACCCCAAACCAGCCCGAACACACCACUGCAGCAUCUGUAAUAGGUGUGUGCUGAAGAUGGAUCAUCACUGCCCCUGGCUAAACAACUGUGUGGGCCACUAUAACCAUCGCUACUUCUUCUCUUUCUGCUUUUUCAUGACUCUGGGUUGUGUCUACUGUAGCUAUGGAAGUUGGGACCUUUUCCGAGAGGCUUACGCUGCCAUUGAGAAAAUGAAACAGCUUGACAAGAACAAACUACAGGCAAUUGCCAACCAGACUUACCACCAGACUCCACCACCCACCUUCUCCUUUCGAGAAAGAAUAACUCACAAGAGUCUUGUCUACCUCUGGUUCCUGUGCAGUUCUGUGGCACUGGCUCUGGGUGCCCUAACCAUAUGGCAUGCUGUUCUCAUCAGUCGGGGUGAGACUAGCAUUGAAAGGCAUAUCAACAAGAAGGAGAGACGUCGGUUACAGGCCAAGGGCAGAGUAUUUAGGAAUCCUUACAACUAUGGCUGCUUGGACAACUGGAAGGUGUUCCUAGGUGUGGACACAGGAAGGUAAAGACAGACAGCAGUGCUACGUAACAGCUUUGUGAUGGGGAAGAUGGUCCAUACCCAGAAGCAGAGAUUGUAAUUGGGGUGAAGGCACUGGCUGACCCGGGUGCUGUUACCUUCUAGUCACCUACCCCAUGGGAAUGGAAUGACCUGGGACCCUCCUCCCUGGGUGACUGCUCACUCAGCCUCUGUGAUGGCUGUGUGAGUAACAACUUGAACAUUAUUCGAUGCUUGUUAUGUCUCUUUCAAGAACUUCCAAGGGCAGCUUUUUUUGGAAUCCAUGACCAUAAAGAGCCACUAGGCCUGCCUUAGAGUACUACUUAGGGACAACUCAAGAGCAAUCUUCUGGCCAUCUCAAAACAAGAUACAGUUGGGUGACGGCAGCACAUGACUUUGAUCCUAGCACCCGGGAGGCAGAAGCAGGUGGAUUUCUGAGUUCCAGGCCAGCCUGGUCUACAGAGCAAGUUCCAGGACAGCCAACGCUACACAGAAAAACCCUGUCUUGAUAAACCAAAAAAAAAAAAAAAAAAAAGUGGAGAAAUCUUACGACUGAUGUCCCUUACUCAGGCAAACAAAUUUUAGCCCCAGACCAGGGGUCAGACAACUAGCUACCUUAUCCGAUGCUGACUUUGAUGUCCUCUAGGUCACAGCACUGGGGCUAGCCACCAUCUCUCACUUUGGGAAAAGAUUUUGUCAGGUAUGUUGAAAUUCUGGCUUCUGAAUGGGACAAAAACAAUAAGCCUAUUGCCAAGGUCACUGCCAUUUCUCACGUGCUGCAGAAGGAGCAGAAAUAAAGGCAUUUGAUUUGUAAAGAUGAA